rnacentral:rRNA from 1 species
CCUACGGGAGGCAGCAGUGAGGAAUAUUGGUCAAUGGACGAGAGUCUGAACCAGCCAAGUAGCGUGAAGGAAGACUGCCCUAUGGGUUGUAAACUUCUUUUAUAUGGGAGUAAAACAGGGUAUGCAUAGCGUCGUGGAUGUACCAGAAGAAUAAGGAUCGGCUAACUCCGUGCCAGCAGCCGCGGUAAUACGGAGGAGCCGAGCGUUAUCCGGAUUUAUUGGGUUUAAAGGGAGCGUAGGUGGAUUGUUAAGUCAGGUGUGAAAGUUUGCGGCUCAACCGUAAAAUGGCCGUUGACACUGGCAGUCUUGAGUACAGUAGAGGUGUGCGGAAUUCGUGGUGUAGCGGUGAAAUGCUUAGAUAUCACGAAGAACUCCGAUUGCGAAGGCAGCUCACUGGCCUGCAACUGACACUGAUGCUCGAAAGUGUGGGUAUCAAACAGGAUUAGAUACCCGUGUAGUC